GAAACACCCCUCCCGAUCUCCCGUCCAAAAGAAAAACGCUGUGACCAGCGAGCCGCUCCCUCUCUCUCCUCGCACGAGUCAUGGCGCGCGCUAGGGUUUCUCACGCCGCCGUCGCCGCCGCCCACCUCCAUCCCUCCCCAACCCCGCCCGGCCUCCACUCCUCUGCGGGCGCCACACAACCGCCGCCGCCCUCUCCACGCACCCGCACCCACUCACCCAACUCUCUCUCCGCCGCCGCCAUCUAGAGCUCGGCCGGUCGAUUCCGGCGGCGCGCAUCACACUCCUCCUGUGCUCGCCUCGCGCCGCUGCGUCCACCCAUCCGGCUGGAUUCGCCGCUCCCCUGUGGCAAGGGCUUCGGUCGCCUCCAACUCCGGCGACUCCGGCGGUUCAUCUCCGACGCCUACCCAGCCCCCACGCGCAGCUCUGUCUCCUGGAUGAAUUUGUCCUGCUCGAGGACGACUGGUUCUUCCUCAACCUCCAAGGACGCCCGCCAUCGUCGAGCCUCCCUCCGUGGGAUGCUAUGGAGAUGAAACUCCCCUCGACCAGGGAAUUCAAGGGCAUGUGGGAGAGAGAGGAGGUCCAUGGAGAAGAUGCUCUGCUCCAACCCUCACUCACUCCUACUACAAGAUGUCUUUUUUUGUGUGUGCUUGUAUUGCAGCAGCCAUGUGCGUAUCAAAAAGAGGGUCCAGUUUGCAGCAGUCACAUGAUAUGGACAUGUUUUUUCAUCACAAUUGGAUUUUUGGAUUUACUAGGCUAAUUGGUGGUGGUUGCUGCUGUUGUUGUUUUAGUAACAGCAGCAGCAGCAGCAGGCCGAGUGACGGUGGUGGUUGUGUGCAGGGAGGGUUGGCGAUGAUUAGCACGAGGGGUAGGCUGCUGCUUCAACCUCGUUAAGUAACGAGCAAUUUCGAGUCGUGGCUCUGGGGGAACAAGUUGAGCAAGUGCAGCCAUUGUCAAGCUUCGUCACUUCACCAGCAACUCAGGAGAGGUGUUUUUUCCGGGUAUUGACGCUUCGGCCAUAGUCGCGUUGAUCCACCACUCACAUAUAUAGAUAAUAGUAUCUGGACGCAGCAGCUGGACGCCAGUGUCGGACACUCUGGCUGCGACGGCCGCCUCAGCAGUUCCACACAUGAGCCGGGUAAUGCAGCAAUAUAGGAUGCUGCAUCUGUUCAUUCCACCAUGACAGUACACUAUAUAAUUUACGAAAGAUGGGCAUGAUAGUCUGUUCUUGAUUCAUUAGAACAUGACCUACCAAGAUGUCGAGGAAUUAACGGCAUCCUGAAUAAAAGAUGGUUCCUUAAUUGUUUGAUUUGUUAAGUCUUACAAAUAAAUAGAUACUGUGAUCCAUGGAAUUCUUCCAUUGUUUGUAUUGAUGUUGAAUGACAAUAUGCUCUUCUUAUAUACUUCCACAUAUAGUAGAAUAUUCUUUUGGGAUAAAUUGACUUGUUCUAUUUGAAAGUGCUGCACCGGCACCAGUAAACAAAUCCAAUCUCAUAUGUCAUCUAUUUAUUCUGACAAAUGGUGCCAUGUAGAAUAGGAAUUAGAAAAAAAAUGAGUACUGGGAUACAUUGCAAACUAUGGAACAAAAGAAACCUACUUGAAAAGGUCUUGUUCUAUUGAUCUGUUAUAUACCAAAAACUUGUUGUAAUAUGUUUUUUCCGUACUAAAUCUUCUGUACAAACUAUUUAUAGGAGAGGUGUUUUUUCCGGGUAUUGACGCUUCGGCCAUAGUCGCGUUGAUCCACCACUCACAUUUAUAGAUAAUAGUAUCUGGACGCAGCAGCUGGACGCCAGUGCCGGACACUCUGGCUGCGACGGCCGCCUCAGCAGUUCGACACAUGAGCCGGGCUGGAGGACCCAGACUCGGAGGAGAUGAUAGAGUUCAUGGCGAGCGAGGCGGACUUGACCGAGUCCAUGCUUGCCUGGUUAGGGAGAGCCUCCAGCGCAAGGUCAUGCGCUGCUUCUCUCCUCUAUUUGGAUUUUAUUAAUUGGUGUCUUUUUACUGACUCCUUCGCUAUAGCUGUGCGCUCCUCAGCUUAGUCCUGCCUCUCUAGAUUACUUCUAGAUCCUACUGAUGGUCUUGACUUUGCACAAUUCCGGGAUGUCAGCUCGCCGCACAUGUGAUACAUAUUGUUAAUAGUUACAGAAUUCCCUGGGUGUUCUUUGUUAUUUUUGUGCACAGAAGAUUUUUGUGUCUUCGUCCGAGCCAAUUUCAGUUUUUUGUGUCCUCGUCCGAGCCAAUUUCAGUUACAAAUCCCCGAGUUAAACUGCAUGUGGCUAACAAUGUUGCAGAUGAAGUUCUCGUCUUUGAUUAGAAGUUUGACAUGUGCUAAGAGUUUUUCUGUGGUUGAUAUCCUGCACCUAGGUAUGUUUAUAGACUUAGAGAUAGAAUAUCCUUACUUUCUUAGGGCCUGUUCGGCAACUGCCCAGCUCCUUGUUCGGCAACUGCCCAGCUCCUUGUUCGGCAACUGCCCAGCUCCUGGCUUCUCUGAAUCAGCGGGCGAAGCUGGGCCGAACAGGUCAGCUCCCAGAAGCCAGCUUCCCAGAUCUAAGGCGAGUCGUAGUGCAAAAACUGGGAGCGAGUGUUUCGUGGAUCCCAGAAAUCGCAGAAGCUGGAGUUUGAGUUAUUUACGGUGAGCUGCCACCGCGAAGUGAAAGAAAACGCUUCGUCCAGGGAAGAAUAGAACGCAGCAACUACCUUCGCUCCCUAACAGGCCAGAAUCUAGCUUAAUGGGCCAGCCGGCUACCAGCCCAAGACUAGCGAACUGGGAUCUGGGAAUUCUGCUGCCGAACGGUUUUUCUGAUCUACAAUUUUCGUCGGGAAGCUGGAGGUGAGAUCGAGAAGCCGGAUUUGAGGAUUUCUGGGAGCUGGGCAGUUGCCGAACAGGCCCUUAUUUAUAGUGGAUCUGUUGCUGGUGCCUUACUACAAAGUACUGGUGUUUUGUGGCAACUGCAAAUGAUAAUAGCAUUCUUGAUGCUAAGCUGUAGAUAAAAUAUUGAAGGGUGCAAGUCUGUUAAUCACUCGAUUAGCCAAUUUUUGUUAUUUAGCUAUCAGUUUAACUCAUACAAUUAAAGUCUGAUUGUUGUUGUAAAUAAUGUUGCUAAGCAUUUCUAGGUACCGUGUUUUUCCAAUUGUUGCCACUUGGCAAAUAAUUAUUGUUUUUAGAAGUAUAACAAGUAGUUUAAAAUUUAUUGUGAAUUGCUCUCUUUAGAUUACUAUAUAAUUUCUGUCCAGCAUACCAAUUCUCUCUUGAGCGGGCUCGAUUAGAUGGGGCGCAAUGGCUAUCCACGGUCUAUCCUUUCAAUUAUUUAAGCAUGGACGUUCAUGUCUGCCUGGUUUUGUUGGGUAUUAUAUGUACUCCUAUGAUUAUUUAUCAAGUACCCGCCAACAAAAUAAAAAAUUGUUGUUGUUCUUGCAUCAUUUGGCUAGGAGUUUUUCCCACUUGAUCUGAAUAUUAGUAACUUAAGGCUAAUGAUAUCUCUUACAGCAAACCAGAUUCAGGAUCAUGUCGAUUCCUUAUGGGCCCCAUGAUUGUUGGUGUUUUCCUAUUUCAAAUGAAAACAUCAAGGUCAUUAUCCUAAUUGCAUAACUUAUUCCGCUAGGAUUGUCGUACUAUUUUUUUUCUUCAGGUAAUUACAUAGUUAAGGUAGUGAAUUUAUUUAGUAAAUUUUACAGUUCCUGAUCUGAAUCAGUAAGGAUCAUGAUAUUGCAACGCUUGAAUUUUUAGACUGUUUAGUGUCUAUGCCAAGCUACAAAUUUGAAGAUAAAAAUUAAGGUAUCUCAUGUCAAUACUAAAAGAAAGAGCCUUCACUUCUCUUUUCAAUUAGAGUGCAUAUACUAAAGCAUAUGGAUCUUUUGACGCAAUCGUAAUUAUGAUACAGAUGAUGUAAUCUCAUCUUACCUUUCUAUUAUGUUACCUUGCUAAUUUCCUAUAUCCGGUUCAUAAUAUUGUGGCUAUUUUCAUGAACUAAGUAAUGGUUAAUAACAUCAACAUCUUGACCUAUGCUCUACUUCCAAGUAAUGUCUACUACUCCUUCACUUAUUACUAUCAUCGACAAUUUUUUGUUCUAGACCCUUUUCUCUACCAUGUUAGUUCGAUAUUUCAUCUUGAUAUUUAUGGCCUCAUUGCAGAUCCUCGUGCAUGAAAAGCACACACGCGGGGCAGGAGCAUACCUACAGAGAGGUCUGAAGGCACACACAUUCACAAAAAGUAUGGAACCAACAGCAUGCAAGCUAAUGAAGGCCAGUAUAGUUCAAGCUUCAGCUGCCGGAUGCUUUUGCUGAUUAACAUUAAGUAGGUUGGUCGGAAGUGAGCCCUCCUUAUAGUUGAUUAAGAUGAUGUGCAAUCAGUCUAGAAGAUUAGGAUGGGAAUUUCAACGAUACUGUGGAUUAGUGUCAAGCAGAGGUCCUUGUGACUAAACAAAAUUUUUGAUGAAUUUCUAACUUUUAAAUUAUAGGUUCCACUAUAACGUUCGUGGUGAUAGAUUAGUGCAACAUAUUCUUUUAAGUUCAGUUCCCCCUUGAGAUCUAUGGGCCUCGAAAUAUUUGGAUAAAAAUAUGUCUCCUUAGCGUCUUUCCAUUCUGCCGAAACAAUAAUGAUGAAGCAUUUUCACUCUUUA